GGGAAUGGGAAUGGGAAUGGUCGGGAUAGCU
rnacentral:tRNA from 1 species